AAAAUGUAUAAAUGAAAAAGUAUAUUUAUUUUGAACUUCUCUACUCACUGAACUAUCAACUCAUAUAUUUUUCCACGUUUUUUCUUUCCAGACAGCAGUUGAGUAUUUGUGCAUCUUUCGGAGUUGAGCCUUUGAUUUUGGAGUCAGUGCCACACGACAAAGUUUGUUAGUAUGACUCACUUCAUAGAGUAUGUAGUCAGUAUUUUGAGACACAUGUUCAUGUUUAGAAGUGAUUUUGCAUCACUUAUAAAUGGUUAAGGGGCUCAUUAUGUAUUUUGUAUCUACAUGUAUAUUUCAUGUUAUUUUUUGGUAAAAAUUGAGAUUUCGACUUAUCUCUAUUGUGUUGUGUUAUAAGUUGGAAUUUGUGUGCAAUUGAUCACAUGUUGGUUAGUUUUGUUUAUAAGGGAG
rnacentral:lncRNA from 1 species